GACGAACGCUGGCGGCGUGCUUAACACAUGCAAGUCGAACGGAAAGGCCCUGCUUUUGUGGGGUGCUCGAGUGGCGAACGGGUGAGUAACACGUGAGUAACCUGCCCUUGACUUUGGGAUAACUUCAGGAAACUGGGGCUAAUACCGGAUAGGAGCUCCUGCUGCAUGGUGGGGGUUGGAAAGUUUCGGCGGUUGGGGAUGGACUCGCGGCUUAUCAGCUUGUUGGUGGGGUAGUGGCUUACCAAGGCUUUGACGGGUAGCCGGCCUGAGAGGGUGACCGGCCACAUUGGGACUGAGAUACGGCCCAGACUCCUACGAGAGGCAGCAGUGGGGAAUAUUGCACAAUGGGCGGAAGCCUGAUGCAGCAACGCCGCGUGCGGGAUGACGGCCUUCGGGUUGUAAACCGCUUUCGCCUGUGACGAAGCGUGAGUGACGGUAAUGGGUAAAGAAGCACCGGCUAACUACGUGCCAGCAGCCGCGGUGAUACGUAGGGUGCGAGCGUUGUCCGGAUUUAUUGGGCGUAAAGGGCUCGUAGGUGGUUGAUCGCGUCGGAAGUGUAAUCUUGGGGCUUAACCCUGAGCGUGCUUUCGAUACGGGUUGACUUGAGGAAGGUAGGGGAGAAUGGAAUUCCUGGUGGAGCGGUGGAAUGCGCAGAUAUCAGGAGGAACACCAGUGGCGAAGGCGGUUCUCUGGGCCUUUCCUGACGCUGAGGAGCGAAAGCGUGGGGAGCGAACAGGCUUAGAUACCCUGGUAGUCCACGCUGUAAACGGUGGGUACUAGGUGUGGGGCCCAUUCCACGGGUUCCGUGCCGUAGCUAACGCUUUAAGUACCCCGCCUGGGGAGUACGGCCGCAAGGCUAAAACUCAAAGGAAUUGACGGGGCCCCGCACAAGCGGCGGAGCAUGCGGAUUAAUUCGAUGCAACGCGUAGAACCUUACCUGGGUUUGACAUGGAUCGGGAGUGCUCAGAGAUGGGUGUGCCUCUUUUGGGGUCGGUUCACAGGUGGUGCAUGGCUGUCGUCAGCUCGUGUCGUGAGAUGUUGGGUUAAGUCCCGCAACGAGCGCAACCCCUGUUCACUGUUGCCAGCACGUUAUGGUGGGGACUCAGUGGAGACCGCCGGGGUCAACUCGGAGGAAGGUGGGGAUGACGUCAAGUCAUCAUGCCCCUUAUGUCCAGGGCUUCACGCAUGCUACAAUGGCUGGUACAGAGAGUGGCGAGCCUGUGAGGGUGAGCGAAUCUCGGAAAGCCGGUCUCAGUUCGGAUUGGGGUCUGCGACUCGACCUCAUGAAGUCGGAGUCGCUAGUAAUCGCAGAUCAGCAACGCUGCGGUGAAUACGUUCCCGGG
rnacentral:rRNA from 1 species